rnacentral:rRNA from 1 species
UACGUAGGGUGCAAGCGUUAAUCGGAAUUACUGGGCGUAAAGCGUGCGCAGGCGGUUGUGCAAGACAGAUGUGAAAUCCCCGGGCUUAACCUGGGAAUUGCAUUUGUGACUGCACGGCUAGAAUCUGGCAGAGGGGGGUAGAAUUCCACGUGUAGCAGUGAAAUGCGUAGAGAUGUGGAGGAAUACCGAUGGCGAAGGCAGCCCCCUGGGCUAAGAUUGACGCUCAUGCACGAAAGCGUGGGGGGCAAACAGG